rnacentral:rRNA from 1 species
CCUACGGGGGGCAGCAGUGGGGAAUAUUGGACAAUGGGCGAAAGCCUGAUCCAGCCAUGCCGCGUGUGUGAAGAAGGCCUUCGGGUUGUAAAGCACUUUCAGUGGGGAAGAAAGCCUUGGGGCUAAUACCCUCGAGGAAGGACAUCACCCACAGAAGAAGCACCGGCUAACUCCGUGCCAGCAGCCGCGGUAAUACGGAGGGUGCGAGCGUUAAUCGGAAUUACUGGGCGUAAAGUGCGCGUAGGCGGUCUGAUAAGCCGGUUGUGAAAGCCCCGGGCUCAACCUGGGAACGGCAUCCGGAACUGUCAGGCUAGAGUGCAGGAGAGGAAGGUAGAAUUCCCGGUGUAGCGGUGAAAUGCGUAGAGAUCGGGAGGAAUACCAGUGGCGAAGGCGGCCUUCUGGACUGACACUGACGCUGAGGUGCGAAAGCGUGGGUAGCAAACAGGAUUAGAUACCCGGGUAGUC